rnacentral:rRNA from 1 species
CCUACGGGUGGCAGCAGUGGGGAAUAUUGCACAAUGGGGGAAACCCUGAUGCAGCGACGCCGCGUGAGUGAAGAAGUAUUUCGGUACGGAAAGCUCUAUCAGCAGAGAAGAAAAUGACGGUACCUGACUCAGAAGCCACGGAUAACUACGUGCCAGCAGCCGCGGUCAUACGUCGGGGGCAAGCGUUAUCCGGAUUUACUGGGUGUAAAGGGAGCGUAGACGGCGGCGCAAGUCUGAAGUGAAAUCCCAUGGCUUAACCAUGGAACUGCUUUGGAAACUGUGCAGCUGGAGUGCAGGAGAGGUAAGCGGAAUUCGUAGUGUAGCGGUGAAAUGCGUAGAUAUUACGAAGAACCCC